rnacentral:rRNA from 1 species
CCUACGGGAGGCAGCAGUGGGGAAUAUUGCACAAUGGGGGAAACCCUGAUGCAGCAACGCCGCGUGAGUGAAGAAGUAUUUCGGUAUGUAAAGCUCUAUCAGCAGGGAAGAAGAUGAUGGUACAUGAUUAAGAAGCUCUGGCUAAUAACGAGCCAGCAGCCGCGGUAAUAUGCAGGGGGCAAGCGUUAUCCGGAUUUACUGGGGGUAAAGGGCGCGCAGACGGCAGUGCAAGUCUGGAGUGAAAGUCCGGGGCCCAACCCCGGAACUGCUCUGGAAACUGUGCGGCUAGAGUACUGGAGGGGCAGGCGGAAUGCCUAGUGUAGCGGUGAAAUGCGUAGAUAUUAGGAAGAACACCAGUGGCGAAGGCAGCCUGCUGGACAAUGACUGACGUUGAGGCUCGAAAGCGUGGGGAGCAAACAGGAUUAGAUACCCUGGUAGUC